UGGGGAAUCUUGCACAAUGGGGGCAACCCUGAUGCAGCGACGCCGCGUGAGCGAUGAAGCCCUUCGGGGCGUAAAGCUCUUUCGACCGGAACGAUAAUGACGGUACCGGGAGAAGAAGCUGCGGCUAACUACGUGCCAGCAGCCGCGGUAAUACGUAGGCAGCAAGCGUUGUUCGGAGUUACUGGGCGUAAAGAGUGCGUAGGCGGUUUUCUAAGUUCGGUGUGAAAUCUCCCGGCUUAACUGGGAGGGUGCGCCGAAGACUGGGAGGCUGGAGUGUGGGAAAGGCAGGCGGAAUUCCUGGUGUAGCGGUGAAAUGCGUAGAUAUCAUGAGGAACACCGGCGGUGUAGACGGCUUGCUAGACCAUAACUGACGCUGAGGCACGAAAGCGUGGGUAGCAAACA
rnacentral:rRNA from 1 species